ensembl:lncRNA
CAGAUGCAGCAAACAAAGUUGUUGUUUUUUUUUCAAAUCCAAUGUGGUAAUAUUCAAAUAAUUACAUUCAGCCAAAACAGGAAGAAAGUAUUAAAAAGAAGAGGGAGGAAAAAAGAAAGAGAGAGAGAGAUGAUUUCAGUUCAGGAGGAGAGGUUGGGUUUGAGUGUUAGAUGUGGGUGGAUGUGGGUGGUGGUACAUGCAUCCCAGGUAGGAUGUGGAUGGGACAAUACAUUCAUUUACAGUCAUUUCCUCGUACCCUGUUAGCCCAUAGUGCUGCGAUGCCUCUCUCUCAGUUAUAUGGCUUUGCUCUCUGAACUCACACAAGCCUCCUCUCAUUUCAGAGUGCACGCGUCGCCAUGUGCACCCAAACGCCCACCCCCGAGGAUUUGUGGAACAUUUUAAUUAAAACAGCAGUGGCUAAUGUGGGUUAAACAUAGACCAUCUCUGCCUGGGAAGAUUCCACUCUCCGUGUUCCUGCAGCACUUUUCACGCUCUCUGUCUGUCUUGUGUUUGCAGCUCUCGUCCUGGUAUCCACAGGCGGGUGGGGCUGUGGCGCGGAGAGAAAGAGAUCCGUCCCCAGGCCCUUCAGCUUUGCUCUAAAAUGGUAAGUAGGUUAUAAGGGGACAGGGGCACCAACGCCAACUGAAUAUUCAUACACCCCCCCACCCCCCUCCCCUGCGUUGAUACUGUCCAACAGAUGUUUUGAUGUCUUUUUAUAGCGCUGGGUUCUCCCGUCACUAUCACACACGUACACACAGAAUCUGGAACACCUCUCUCUAAUAAGUAUCCAAUGUCAGUGCUUGCCUGAAGCAACAAACGAAAACACACUGCCCAGAGACACACACACACACAAAGGAAUAUGUUUCAUUGCAAAGACAUCUGUCAGACUCAGAGACAGCAGGGUGGUCUUUUGUUAGUAGCCUACAAAAUAUUGUUCACUUCAAAACAGAGACCGUGGAAGUAAAAAAACUGUGAGGAGUUUUCUGGGACAGCCAACCUCGAAAGAUGUCACUUAGAAAACGGGUGGUGGUGGUGGUGAGGAGAGGCAGUGGGGGGAGGGUAACGACAGAGUGAAGGGGAAAACGAUAGACAGGAGAGACACGCAUCUCCCGAUCACCAGGCGGUUUUAUAAUCGCUAGCUAAUUGCCUGUCGGCAAAGGUGGCACUCAGAUGUCCUCUUAGUUACGUAAUGAGACCCCUGUGGGGAUGGAUGGAGGGCGAGAGAGAGAAUGGGGAGGGGGGGGAAGGGACAAAAGAAAGGUGGGAGAAGAGGAGACAGGAAAUGACAGGAUGGCUACAGCAGGAUGGAAACGGGACACAUUCAUCAGGCUGUCUGUGUGCGUGUCAGUGGGAAAUCUGCUAUUUUUUACUUUUUAUAUGGACAAAACACUCCCAGGAGGACAGAAAAGAUGAAGAAAUCCAGAAAAAUGCCACUUCUACACAGGAAAAGGUUAAUGGCUGAAGUCUCUAAUAAUAAAACACACUUGUGUGGAUCUGUGUGAGACAGAAUAAGACAGCUGGGUGAAUGAAAAAUGCAUCACCUUCAGUCUCACACACACACAGCCACACACAGAUGGAAGGUGAGGACGCUCAGAGACACACAAACACAGUGGUGGACAAAGUGAGAAGAUAAAUAGAGGAAAAAAGGAGGGGGUUUCAGGGUGGGGCGUGGACAAUGGCACACUCGCGUCACGACACCCAGACAAAAGCACAACCUCGCUUUGCCAGCAUCGCCCAGCUUUUAAUGUCAACCAAAAGGACAAUGACGCAAAUGGGCCGGCUGUAACCUCCAGCUACAGCAGGCGGACACAGAGGAGACGCAACAGGAUCUUUGCUCUCGCCGUCCGACUCCAACUCAGGAUUUUUACUCUGCUCUCACUCCUAUUGUUUGUUUGUUUUUUUAGCAAAGGGGGGAAGGAGGCCAAGCUACGGCCUGAGUGACAUCGUAGAUUUGAUUAUGGCGAUGAUGAUGAAACAUGGGAGGUCAAAUGAAAGGCACAGCUUCAAUGGUUCCCCCUGAGUUGUCACAAUCUUUUCAAAUGCUCCUCCUCAUAUUCACAUAGUUUUGAUCAGAAUUCAGACGAUUUAGCUUUAUCGCCACUUUUUGCUUAAUUUUUUUUUCAUUUUAUGCACCUUUUGUUUUUUUU